UUCCUGGUGGUCCAGUGGUUAGGAGUCUGUGCUUCCAAUGCGGAGAGCCCGGGUUCGAUCCUUGGUCAGGAAA
rnacentral:tRNA from 1 species